UACGGAGGAUGCAAGCGUUAUCCGGAAUUAUUGGGCGUAAAGCGUCCGCAGGUGGCACUUCAAGUCUGCUGUCAAAGACCGGGGCUUAACCCUGGAAAGGCAGUGGAAACUGAAGCGCUAGAGUGUGGCAGGGGUAGAGGGAAUUCCCGGUGUAGCGGUGAAAUGCGUAGAGAUCGGGAAGAACAUCGGUGGCGAAAGCGCUCUACUGGGCCAUAACUGACACUCAAGUGCGACAGCGUGGGGAGCAAACAGG
rnacentral:rRNA from 1 species